AUUGAACGCUGGCGGCAGGCCUAACACAUGCAAGUCGAACGAGUGGCGGACGGGUGAGUAACGUCUGGGAAACUGCCUGAUGGAGGGGGAUAACUACUCGAAACGGUAGCUAAUACCGCAUACCAUCGGAUGUGCCCAGCUGGGAUUAGCUAGUGGGUGGGGUAAAGGCUCACCAAGGCGACGAUCCCUAGCUGGUCUGAGAGGAUGACCCGCCACACUGGGACUGAGACACGGUCCAGACUCCUACGGGAGGCAGCAGUGGGGAAUAUUGCACAAUGGGCGCAAGCCUGAUACAGCCAUGCCGCGUGUAUGAAGAAGGCCUUCGGGUUGUAAAGGACUUUCGGCGGGGAGGCGGUACCCGCAGAAGAAGCACCGGCUAACUACGUGCCAGCAGCCGCGGUAAUAC
rnacentral:rRNA from 1 species